rnacentral:lncRNA from 1 species
UCGGUUACAACGUAACAACACUUAGUCAGCACCUCAUUAGGAACAUUCCUGUCAUGUUUGGUUUCAUUCUAUUCAGUGGUUCUCUAGAAGAAGUUCAAAAUAAAAAAAAAAUAACGACGACGACGCACAACGACGGACGCCAUGGGAUAAGAAAACCCUUCGGGUCAAGUGAGCUAAAAAAAAAAGGGGGGGUAUGUUUUUUGGUUUGAUUUUUUUUCGCCAAACGCGAACCUUUGAUUUUUUUUUUUUUUAACUUUUUCAGCGCUAUCACUAAAUUAAUUUUUUUUAAUAUUGAACACUAUAAGGUAUGACGUAAAUCUGGAUUCAAUAUAUAUUUUUUUGAUCAUCUGCUUGGCCUGAUUAUUUUUUUUUAGCAUAUUGGGGAGAAGAUUAUUUUUCUAGAAAAAAAGCAUAAAGUCACCUUCGACUUCGUCGGAAGGGGACUUUAACCCCCCCCCUUUUUUUUUGAAGUUCAAUGGUUGUUCCCUUAUUAAUUAAAAUAAUAAUCGAAAAUAAAUGCUAAAUCUUUCCUAUGAAUCAAAUACUGAACUAAUUUG